rnacentral:rRNA from 2 species
GAAAACGACUCUCGGCAACGGAUAUCUCGGCUCUCGCAUCGAUGAAGAACGUAGCGAAAUGCGAUACUUGGUGUGAAUUGCAGAAUCCCGUGAACCAUCGAGUCUUUGAACGCAAGUUGCGCCCGAAGCCGUCAGGCCGAGGGCACGUCUGCCUGGGCGUCACGCA